rnacentral:lncRNA from 1 species
CUCUUGUUGAAUGUCAUUUUAACAUAGUGGUUGCCCCUGAGCAAUCAUGGGUCUCAAGGGAACCCAUGCUAUGGAUAUACUAUGGUGUUUUCUACUAUUGAUGGCUGUUAUAGCGGGAUGCGACCAGGCCGGACUUGACAAGAACUUGAAGGUAUACUACCAUGCAGCUGAAAUAGAUGGGUGACUCGUCUGUGUCUCUCCCUGUGCCUCUGGCCACAACAGGACAAAGCACUGUAACACCAGUACCUGUAGUAUGUCACGGGCCGGACCAGUCUGCGGAUCCACUAUCCACACAGCUGUAACAAGGACUACUGGUACCGAGACUCUGCAUGUUACGGCCCCAUCCUGAAGCGAGACAUCUUUGCUGCGUUACUGACUCUGGCAAGACUGGUGAUAGCAGCCAUGGGGGUCGUGGUGGUCUACAUGCCCUGGCAUAGACGACAAUCCCGCAGAGAAUGACCCUAACCCACAUUAUGGUGGCUGAGUGGGCUUGCAGUACGAGGCAGAGGGAGACUCCUCCAACUUCUCCCUACCAUGGAACACAGGCACAGGUGUCCAGGGAGAGGUUUGAGACCAUCUACCACGACUACAGUUCCUGGGGGCUGAUAGGGACACCAUACAAGACAUAGACACCUGAACCGACCUCCUCUUCAGGGCAACGUUUUGCAUCGAGUGACCCUGGCAGCCAAUCAAAGAAUGUCUAGCUUUCAUUUCAAUGACUGUUAGCAACCUGGACAAAGUGAAGAGACUAUAAAUGUAGGUACAAUAUCAUUUCUACAAACUUUUGAUUUGGUUUUAGUAAUUUCAAUGUCGAUUGACAUCGUUUUUCUGCGACAAAAAAACCCAAACAUUUUCAGAUUGUAUAGGCUCGCGGGCCUUGAGUUUGACAAGUGGUCUACAUUGUCAUUCAACCUGUUAAAAAAAGCUGUAAAAUAUGUAUGUUAUACUGUGGUUGCACUUUAUAAACUGGUGUGUACUUCCAUGGUAAAUUACUACAUAAGGAUAAUAUGGAGGAGCUAAUGUUGACGUUAAAAACCUAUUCCAUACUUAAAUACCUUUUUUUAAUAUUCCCUGACAGUUUAUGAUCAGCAGACCGGAGAUAAAGUCACUUUGAGAUGUAGUGGAUCAUCCUUUAAAUCAGUGUUUCAUCGACCACUGGAAAAAAGACUGAAACAAGAUCAGUAUUGG